rnacentral:rRNA from 1 species
GACGAACGCUGGCGGCGUGCUUAACACAUGCAAGUCGAACGGAGUGGCGAACGGGUGAGUAACACGUGGGGGCACUGCAUUGCACUUCGGGAUAAGCUUGGGAAACUGGGUCUAAUACCGGAUAGUGCAAGAUGAGCUCGCGGCUUAUCAGCUUGUAGGUGGGGUAAUGGCCUACUAAGGCGUCGACGGGUAGCCGGCCGGCGAGGGUGUACGGACACAAUGGGACGGAGAUACGGGCCAGACUCCGACGGGCGGCAGCAGUGGGGAAUAUGGCAGAGUGGGCGGAAGCGUGAUGAAGCGACGCCGGGUGGGGAAUAAAGGCCUUCGGGUUGUAAACUCCUUCCGACAGGGACGCGGUACCUAUAAAGGAAGCAACGGCUAACGACGUGCCAGCAGCCGCGGUAAUAC